rnacentral:misc_RNA from 1 species
GAUGAAGAACGCAGCGAAAUGCGAUAAGUAAUGCGAAUUGCAGAUUUCAGUGAGUCAUCGAAUCUUUGAACGCACAUUGCGCCUGCCAGCACUCUGGCAGGCAUGCCUGUUCGAGCGUCAUUUCAACCAUCAAGCCCUAGGCUUGCGUUGGAGCCCUGCGGCUGCCGCAGGCCCCUAAAAGCAGUGGCGGGCUCGCUAUCACACCGAGUGCAGUAGAUUACUCUUCGCUCAGGGCGUGUGGCGGGUUCCAGCCGUGAAACCCCCUACUUCUCAAGGUUGACCUCGGAUCAGGUAGGAAUACCCGCUGAACUUAAGCAUAUCAAUAAGCGGAGGA